rnacentral:rRNA from 1 species
UAUUGGACAAUGGGCGAAAGCCUGAUCCAGCAAUGCCGCGUGAGUGAUGAAGGCCUUCGGGUCGUAAAGCUCUUUUACCAGGGAUGAUAAUGACAGUACCUGGAGAAUAAGCUCCGGCUAACUCCGUGCCAGCAGCCGCGGUAAUACGGAGGGAGCUAGCGUUGUUCGGAAUUACUGGGCGUAAAGCGCACGUAGGCGGCUACUCAAGUCAGAGGUGAAAGCCCGGGGCUCAACCCCGGAACUGCCUUUGAAACUAGGUAGCUAGAAUCUUGGAGAGGUCAGUGGAAUUCCGGGUGUAGAGGUGAAAUUCGUAGAUAUUCGGAAGAACACCAGUGGCGAAGGCGACUGACUGACAAGUAUUGACGCUGAGGUGCGAAA